UAAUCACUGUUCAUUACAAAACUAAGUAAAAACAGAUCUGUUAACUGAAGUCUAUUCAAUAAUAAGAUAUAAAAAAAUUGCAUAAAAAUCCAUUCAAAAUGAGAAUUUCAUUUUUAUUCAUUUUCGUUGUGUUUGCCAUCAUUGCAAGUACAUUAGCUGGUGCUGAUUCGUCUUCAAGCUCAACAAAAUUAGUUCAUCGCUGCCGAUGCAGACCAAGAAAAUGUCCAGAGACAUCAUCAUCAGAGGACAACAGCUGCAAUUGCGAAAAUGAGUGUAGUGACGUCUGUAAAAAGAAAUAAUGCACCGUAUCGAAUUUGACAAACAACCCACUAAUUUUUACGGAAAUGAUAUCUACCUUGCUUCGCUUAUUUUAUUCAUUAUCUAUUUAUUAUUAAACACUUUGCACAUUAUUUCAUUAAAUGCACGAAAAAAAUUAUAGUUUGAAUUCUA